GGUUAAAAAGCUCGUAGUCGGAUUUCUGUUGAGGAUGACCGGUCCGCUCUUUGAGCGCGUAUCUGGUUCAGCCUUGGCAUCCUCUUGGGGAACGCUACUGUGCUUGAUUGCAUGGGGCGGUAUUCAAGACUUUUGCUUUGAGGAAAUUAGAGUGUUCACUGCAAGCGUUAGCAAUUGAAUACAUUAGCAUGGAAUAAUAAUAUAGGACCUUGGUACUAUUUUGUUGGUUUCUAGAACUAAGGUAAUGAUUAAUAGGGACAAUUGGGGGCAUUCGUAUUAACGCGUCAGAGGUGGAAUUCUUAGAUUGCGUUACGACGAACUACUGCGAAAGCAUUUGCCAAGGAUGUUUUCAUUGAUCAAGAACGAAAGUAUGGGGAUCGAAGACGCUUAGAUACCGUCGUAGUCUAUACCAUAAACUAUGCCAACUAGAGAUUGGAGGUCGUUCUCUUUAUGACUCCUCCAGCACCUUAUGAGAAAUCAAAGUCUUUGGGUUCCGGGGGGAGUAUGGUCGCAAGGCUGAAACUUAAAGGAAUUGACGGAAGGGCACCACCAGGAGUGGAGCCUGCGGCUUAAUUUGACUCAACACGGGAAAACUUACCAGGUCCAGACAUAGUAAGGAUUGACAGAUUGAUAGCUCUUACUUGAUUCUAUGGGGUGGUGGUGCAUG
rnacentral:rRNA from 1 species